GAUUCUCACAACUUCUGCGUGCGAGCGCCCGCCCCACCGACCGCCCCGGCCCGGCCCGCAAGAGCCAGAGGAGCCGAGAGGAGCCCAGCGCCGGCCCAGCGGACUCCAGCUCGACGGAGCGGCCGCGCCCCGACCAGUUACUCCCCUGCUGGUGCCUCCCUCCUUGGCGCGCUUCCCACCUGCGAUCGGCGCCCUCUUCGCAGUCACGAACUCGCCAGCAGCUAGCAGCACUGACUAGUAGGAGGGCCCGCCGGAGGAGAGGAAGCCCCAGAGAGAUUGGUGAGGGUGAUUUCCCAGGAAGACGCAGUGUGCUCUGACUUCUGUGACAGUGAGCAACGGGACCAGUGGAUGUCCAGAUGCUGGCAAUGAGACAUGCUCUGGAGUCAGAAGACAGCGAAAAGAGAAGCAGAAGCCCCGGUGGCAAGAGUCUGAAGCAGGAAGGAUGACUGUAGCCUGUGGAUUGUACUGCAGUAGGAAACUGUCCUAGCAAGGCUCCACUUUGCCCCAGCUUCAAGCUGGAAAGGAGGAGAACAUGAAACAUUGCUUGAAGACAAUGGCCGAGACAGCAGGUCCCACCCUGCACAGCCACCAGCAUCUCUCCCCUCAGCCCUGUCUCCUCUUCUGCAGUUGGGAUCUGCACAUUUAAGCCUGAAAUUGUCCUGUGAAGUGAAGUAUGAUCGGACAGCCUCUUUUCAGCUUUUAUGACAAUGGAGACAGAGGAAUUGUGGCUCUUGCCAAGGUCACAGGAUUGGAAUACAGAGCCAAGCCACCCCAGGACAUGCAAGAGCCUCAGAAGGGAAAAAAGCCCAGCAGGAAGGGAGAACAAGUAGCCUCUGUCCUGAAGUUGUAACAGCCAGGGGCCAGGAUGGAGGAGGAGGACCCCAUAAUCUGCCCAUCUGGGACUUGGCAGGGGACCUGGGAAAAUGUACCCCAACCCAUCCCUUAAGGGCCUUUGUCUUUGGCCCAUUGGCCUAGCAUCUACUUCUUCACCGUGUCUGUUCUUGUCACACCUAGUCAGGUCUGUUUGGGUCUGAGGUGCAUGGAACAUUCUGGGUAGGCCUCCAGCAAACGGAAGCUCUUCACCGUGUUUCCAGCCUGGGACCAAGGGCAGCAUACUGGCAAAGUUGCCAAAGCAAGGGACUCCAGCCUCUUAGGAGUUAAUGACUCCCUCUCCCCAGCUGUCCUCCCCUUGGUGCUCCUCUUCCUCCCUCCUCCUGCUCACAGCAGGCAGGGCCUAGACCCGGGAGCCAUGCUGCUGUGCUGUUGCCAGGGGAGCACGGAGGCAGAUCUGAGCUAUGCAGGGAAAAGGCCCAGCCUGUCAAAGUGUCUGAGAUGAACCGCCGCCGUCCCUGUGCAGCUGGGCUCAGACGUGUCUCAGCUCUUGUUCUGUGCCUGAGAAUGGCGAAACCCAGUGAGGUUCAAGGGCAAACUCGCUAUUCAUUAGUCAGGGGUUCUUGACGUCCCGUCUCUCCCAGGGAUGAGUUCCCCCCUCCUCUUUCUCCCCCUCCUAUGACACAUUCCUGGGUGCCUUUGGUGAGGACUGCACACCCUCCUCCUGCCUAGCCCCCUCUCCAAAGGCCCCUGAAUAAACUCCCCCCAAGGAGACCAGGCAGGGCAGAGACAAUGGCUGCAGGAAAUCAUUCAGGCGGGACAUGCUGGCCUGCCCUUCACCUCAAAUAGUCUUUUAGCUGGGCUUCUCCUGCAAUUCCACCUAAUGCCAUCCCCUGGGUUUUGCCCAAACCUGAACUGGGCAGUGGGGUGAGAGGAGGGGUUUACAGGGUUACAGAGCCUCAUACAGAUAGGAGCCCAUGGCUGCUGGUCAUCUGCAUUCCUGCAGGAUUGGCUGUUCCUUGGGGUCCUUGGCAGGAAAAUGAGGAUUGCUCCGAGGCCUGCUCCAGUACUUCCCAGAGGCUGGCCUGGUGUGGGGCUCUGGGAAGGCUGAGGCUGGAGAAGCGUAAGUAGGAGGGCAGAGAUGGCACUCAGGUAGCUUGAAUCACCAGGACCCUUCCAAGCCCCACAGGUUCUGAGGGAGUACUAGGGCCAGCUCUGGGAGAGGUCUCUUCCUAUGCUGUGAACCCCCUGCCUUUCUUGCAGCCUACAACGAAUAAAUUUUCUUUGCAAAGG
rnacentral:lncRNA from 10 species